rnacentral:rRNA from 1 species
UACGUAGGGUGCGAGCGUUGUCCGGAAUUAUUGGGCGUAAAGAGCUCGUAGGCGGUGUGUCACGUCGAUCGUGAAAACUUACAGCUUAACUGUGAGCGUGCGGUCGAUACGGGCAUCACUGGAGUUCGGCAGGGGAGACUGGAAUUCCUGGUGUAGCGGUGGAAUGCGCAGAUAUCAGGAGGAACACCGGUGGCGAAGGCGGGUCUCUGGGCAGUAACUGACGCUGGAGGAGCGAAAGCGUGGGGAGCGAACAGG